UACGUAGGGGGCUAGCGUUGUCCGGAAUCAUUGGGCGUAAAGAGCGUGUAGGCGGUCCGGUAAGUCCGCUGUGAAAGUCGGGGGCUCAACCCUCGAAUGCCGGUGGAUACUGUCGGGCUAGAGUGCGGAAGAGGCGAGUGGAAUUCCCGGUGUAGCGGUGAAAUGCGCAGAUAUCAGGAAGAACACCCGUGGCGAAGGCGGCUCUCUGGGACGGUACUGAGCUAGA
rnacentral:rRNA from 1 species